GUGCAGCAGCCGCGGUCAUACGGAGGGUGCAAGCGUUGUCCGGAAUCACUGGGCGUAAAGGGUGCGCAGGCGGGGCAGCAAGUCGGAGGUGAAAGCCCAUGGCUCAACCAUGGAAGUGCCUUCGAAACUGUUGCUCUUGAGUCCCGGAGAGGCUGUCGGAAUUCGUGGUGUAGCGGUGAAAUGCGUAGAUAUCACGAGGAACACCAGAGGCGAAAGCGGACAGCUGGACGGGUACUGACGCUCAGGCACGAAAGCGCGGGGAGCAAACAGGAUUAGAAACCCUUGUAGUCC
rnacentral:rRNA from 1 species